rnacentral:rRNA from 1 species
GACGAACGCUGGCGGCGUGCCUAAUACAUGCAAGUAGAACGCUGAAGGAGGAGCUUGCUUCUCUGGAUGAGUUGCGAACGGGUGAGUAACGCGUAGGUAACCUCGCUGUUAGCGAGGGAGAACUAUUGGAAACGCUAGCUAAUACCGCAUAAUAGUAGAUGUUGCAUGACAUUUGCUUAAAAGGUGCAAUUGCAUCACUACCAGAUGGACCUGCGUUGUAUUAGCUAGUUGGUGAGGUAACGGCUCACCAAGGAGACGAUACAUCGCCGACCUGAGAGGGUGAAAGGACACCAUGAGACUGAGAAAAGGGCCAGAGUCCGACGGGAGGCAGCAGUAGGGAGUAUUCGGCAAUGGACGGAAGACUGACCGAGAGACGCCGCGUGAGAGCAGAAGGUUUUCGGAUCGUGAAAAUCUGUUGUAAGAGAAGAAACAGAGUGUGAGUGGAAAGUUCAAAAUGUGACGGUAUCUUACCAGAAAGGGACGGCUAACUACGUG